rnacentral:rRNA from 1 species
AAGCAUAUCAAUAAGCGGAGGAAAAGAAACUAACAAGGAUUCCCCUAGUAACUGCGAGUGAAGAGGGAAAAGCUCAAAUUUAAAAUCUGGCAGUCUUUGAUUGUCCGAGUUGUAAUUUAGAGAAGUGUUACCCGCGUUGGACCGUGUACAAGUUUCCUGGAAUGGAACGUCAUAGAGGGUGAGAAUCCCGUCUUUGACACGGAUCCCAAUUCAUUGUGGUACACUUUCGAAGAGUCGAGUUGUUUGGGAAUGCAGCUCUAAAUGGGUGGUAAAUUCCAUCUAAAGCUAAAUAUUGGGGAGAGACCGAUAGCGAACAAGUACCGUGAGGGAAAGAUGAAAAGAACUUUGGAAAGAGAGUUAAACAGUACGUGAAAUUGCUAAAAGGGAAACGCUUGAAGUCAGUCGCGUUGUCCGGGGAUCAGCCUUCCUUCUGGUUGGUGUACUUCCCGGUUGAUGGGUCAGCAUCAGUUUUGACCAGUGGAUAAAAGUGAGAGGAAUGUGGCAUCUUCGGGUGUGUUAUAGCCUCUUGUUGUAUACAUUGGUUGGGACUGAGGAAUUCAGCACGCCGCAAGGCCGGGUUUUUAACCACGUUCGUGCUUAGGAUGCUGGCAUAAUGGCUUUAAUCGACCCGUCUUGAAACACGGACCAAGGAGUCUAACAUGCCCUGCGAGUGGUUUGGGUGAAAAACCCGAGCCGGCGUAAUGAAAAGUGAAAGUUUAGGAUCCCCUGUCCGUGGGGGAGCACUUGACGCCCCUGUCCCAGAGCUUUUUGUUGACGGGUACCAGCGGUUUGAGCAAUGGUAUGUUUGGGGACCCCGAAAAGAUGGGUGAACUAUGCCCUGAAUAGGGGUGAAGCCCAGAGGGAAACUCUUGGUGGAAGGCUCGUAAGCCGAUUCUUGACGUGCAAAUCGGAUCGUCGAAUUUUGGGUAUAGGGGGCGAAAAGACUAAUCGAACCAUCUAGUAGCUGGGUUCCUGCCCGAAGUUUCCCUCAGGAUAGCAGAAACUCAUUGUCAGAUUUAUGUGGUAAAGCGAAUGAUUAGAGGCCUUGGGGUUGUAACAACCUUAACCUAUUC